rnacentral:lncRNA from 1 species
CCCAGCUUUCCGUAAGAGCUGAGUUGCUGUUGCCCAGAGUGCUGUGCUGCCCUGGCAGCCAACAGUAAGCACAGAGCAACUGAUAAACAUGACUGACUUCUUCCUUUUCUGACCUUCCCACCCCGAGCGUGCACGUCAAUAUGAGGACAAAUGUGGUUCAUCUUCCACCCACUGAAGGCCAAGCUCAGUUUCUGACAACAGGCAAGAAGACAGGGCCUUCCUAGGGCACCCCAAUGUGCUUUGUCCUUGCCAAUUGGCCUGAUGGCAGAAAUAGGCUGGGUGAUUAACAUGAAGAGCCAGCAACACCUGACUUCAAAUACGUUGGUGAAAAAUGAAAACCUGCAGAUGCUGAGCCUCCUGGAGGCCAUUCCCAAAUCGACAUGGAUACAGCACUGCCUUGGUGUUUGGGGAGGGAGCUACAUACACACAAGUCCCGCCUCUCGGGGCUCCCACUCUACUGCUGGAGGUCACAUAGGCAAGAUGAUAAGUGCUGAGCUGACGCUGCAGAAUGGCUCAGUGGGACAAGCAAGCUAUAAGACCUGAGUUGGAAUCCCUAGAACUCAGGUGCAGUAGUGUGUGCACCCACAGUCCAAUUGUGCCCACGAGGAAGUGGGAGGUGGGACAGGAGACUCACCACAAGCUCACAGGCCACCUAGCUGGGAGUACACAGCACAGAGGCAAACAACACAGACCCUGCUUCCAGCAAGGUGGGAGGUGAGGACCAAUGAUUGAGCUUGUCCUCUGACCUUCACACAUUCACCAUGCCAUGUGUCUGCAUGCAUUUGCCUGUACACACACACACACACACACACACACACACACACACACACACACACACACACCAAUGCAAACAUGCUGGACAUGAAGGGACCUGCUCCCCAUUUUGGCAGCCAUGACAGUAACCUUGCCUUGGUCACUUAGAGGUCAGAUGCCUGCCUCAUGACAAGGAACCAAUCAGAAGUUAGCUGGUGGCGCUAUGCUUUACGACCCUGGGUAUACUUUACGGACAAACGCACAGCAAUGACCAAUGAUGAUCAGAGCAUAGCAACCACCCUGGGACGGCCUAUGGGCCAUAACAACCAGUUGGCCAAUCAACAGAGGGCAAGUCCUCCAAGCCUGGAGGGCACACCAAUCCUGAGCCUGUGCGUACCCCUAGACACUCCCCUUAACGCUGCCCUACAAGAUUGCCCUACAAGAUCUCUUGGGAGCCCCUAGGAGCUGUCUUUUGUAGCCAACCGCCAUGGUGGGUGGACAAAAGACCAGAGCUAACAUGGGGUUAGCUCGUUAAAUUACAAUAAAGCCUCA